rnacentral:rRNA from 1 species
AGAGUUUGAUCAUGGCUCAGAUUGAACGCUGGCGGCAGGCCUAACACAUGCAAGUCGAACGGUAGCACAGAGGAGCUUGCUCCUUGGGUGACGAGUGGCGGACGGGUGAGUAAUGUCUGGGAAACUGCCUGAUGGAGGGGGAUAACUACUGGAAACGGUAGCUAAUACCGCAUAACGUCGCAAGACCAAAGAGGGGGACCUUCGGGCCUCUUGCCAUCGGAUGUGCCCAGAUGGGAUUAGCUAGUAGGUGGGGUAACGGCUCACCUAGGCGACGAUCCCUAGCUGGUCUGAGAGGAUGACCAGCCACACUGGAACUGAGACACGGUCCAGACUCCUACGGGAGGCAGCAGUGGGGAAUAUUGCACAAUGGGCGCAAGCCUGAUGCAGCGACGCCGCGUGCGGGAUGACGGCCUUCGGGUUGUAAACCGCUUUUGAUCGGGAGCAAGCCUUCGGGUGAGUGUACCUUUCGAAUAAGCACCGGCUAACUACGUGCCAGCAGCCGCGGUAAUACGUAGGGUGCAAGCGUUAUCCGGAAUUAUUGGGCGUAAAGGGCUCGUAGGCGGUUCGUCGCGUCCGGUGUGAAAGUCCAUCGCUUAACGGUGGAUCUGCGCCGGGUACGGGCGGGCUGGAGUGCGGUAGGGGAGACUGGAAUUCCCGGUGUAACGGUGGAAUGUGUAGAUAUCGGGAAGAACACCAAUGGCGAAGGCAGGUCUCUGGGCCGUUACUGACGCUGAGGAGCGAAAGCGUGGGGAGCGAACAGGAUUAGAUACCCUGGUAGUCCACGCCGUAAACGGUGGAUGCUGGAUGUGGGGCCCGUUCCACGGGUUCCGUGUCGGAGCUAACGCGUUAAGCAUCCCGCCUGGGGAGUACGGCCGCAAGGCUAAAACUCAAAGAAAUUGACGGGGGCCCGCACAAGCGGCGGAGCAUGCGGAUUAAUUCGAUGCAACGCGAAGAACCUUACCUGGGCUUGACAUGUUCCCGACCGCGGCAGAGAUGUCGUUUCCCUUCGGGGCGGGUUCACAGGUGGUGCAUGGUCGUCGUCAGCUCGUGUCGUGAGAUGUUGGGUUAAGUCCCGCAACGAGCGCAACCCUCGCCCUGUGUUGCCAGCACGUCAUGGUGGGAACUCACGGGGGACCGCCGGGGUCAACUCGGAGGAAGGUGGGGAUGACGUCAGAUCAUCAUGCCCCUUACGUCCAGGGCUUCACGCAUGCUACAAUGGCCGGUACAACGGGAUGCGACACGGCGACGUGGAGCGGAUCCCUGAAAACCGGUCUCAGUUCGGAUUGGAGUCUGCAACCCGACUCCAUGAAGGCGGAGUCGCUAGUAAUCGCGGAUCAGCAACGCCGCGGUGAAUGCGUUCCCGGGCCUUGUACACACCGCCCGUCAAGUCAUGAAAGUGGGUAGCACCCGAAGCCGGUGGCCUAACCCUUUGUGGAUGGAGCCGUCUAAGGUGAGACUCGUGAUUGGGACUAAGUCGUAACAAGGUAGCCGUACCGGAAGGUGCGGCUG